GAUGAAGAAACGCAGCGAAACGCGAUAGGUAAUGUGAAUUGCAGAAUUCCGUGAAUCAUCGAAUCUUUGAACGCACAUUGCGCCUGCUGGUAUUCCGGUAGGCAUAUCUGUUUGAGCGUCAGCAAACAUCCUCGGUGAAAGGUUUUUCCUAUCACCGGUCUUGGGUUGGGUAGCGGCGUGCUUCGGCUCGCGCCCCCAGUCCUAAAAUUGCUGUACGACCGCUGGCACCGCCUGGCAUGGUUUGUGGAGUGGAGCAUCCAAUCUUCCGCACCUGUUCGGGCAACGCUUCCGCGGCUUUAAAUCUUGAAGCCCUCAUAAGGCGUCAGAAGUUUGACCUCAAAUCAGAUAAGGAUACCCGCUGAACUUAAGCAUAUCAAUAAGCGGAGGA
rnacentral:misc_RNA from 1 species